rnacentral:lncRNA from 1 species
AAUGUACUGCUCUAGGUUGACAUUUUGUUCUAAAUCACCAAACAUCUGAUCCAGGACAAAUAGUCUGAUCUGGUUUAGGAACACUGCCAUGUGCUACUGUUGAAUGCAUUCUCUGAAAGUCUCUCUCUCUUCCCAACUCCUCUAUUCCCCCUCUUUCCUUUGCCCUAUCCCUCUCAAUUUGUUGCAGUGGUACGGAGGUGUCAAAAGGCCAGGGACCGUGACUUAAGGUGACCCGGAACUCUCUGACAAUGAGGGACCCCCAUUUGCUAUGGUAACGAGUGGUGGUGGAUGAACCUUCUGGAUGGUUUGGGUAAACAGUUGAUUCAAAGGGGGUGUGGCAGAUCCCAUAACUCUUCCGCGAAGGACUCCGGUAGGAUACUCUUGUGCUUCUUCGGCGGUAGGAGGCUAUCGAGGAGGGUGUUCCAUCUGAACUUCAGUCACUAUGGAGACAGACCGACUCAUCUUAUAACACACGGUUGAAGAAUUGACUCAAAUUAAAUCAAGCUGCCAGAAUAUGAUUGUGUGGAUGGUCAUUUUUGCACUUUGCACAAUUAUUUUGUCCUUUGCCCUAAGUAUCCUAAGUUGUAAGAAGGUCUGUGAGAGGGUUUAGUACAUGCAGGAACAUUCAUGUAUGCUUUUUACAUAAUACUGCAGGAAGGAUAAGCCGAUAUACCUUGCUAGUCGGUUUUAUAUACAGUGCAUUCUGAAAGUACUCAUACCCCUUCACUUUUUCCACAUUUUGUUACAC